AUUGAACGCUGGCGGCAGGCCUAACACAUGCAAGUCGAGCGAGCGGCGGACGGGUGAGUAAUGUAUGGGGACUGCCCGAUAGAGGGGGAUAACUACUGGAAACGGUGGCUAAUACCGCAUACUAUCGGAUAACCCAUAUGGGAUUAGCUAGUAGGUGGGGGAAAGGCUCACCAAGGCAACGAUCUCUAGCUGGUCUGAGAGGAGGAUCGGCAACACUGGGACUGAGACACGGCCCAGACUCCUACGGAGGCAGCAGUGGGGAAUCUUGCACAAUGGGCGAAAGCCUGAUGCAGCAAUGCCGCGUGUAUGAAGAAGGCCUUAGGGUCGUAAAGUACUUUCAGCGGGGAGGCGUUACCCGAUGAGGAAGCAACGGCUAACUCCGUGCCAGCAGCCGCGGUAAUUC
rnacentral:rRNA from 1 species